CCUACGGGAGGCAGCAGUGAGGAAUAUUGGUCAAUGGGCGAGAGCCUGAACCAGCCAAGUCGCGUGAGGGAUGACGGCCCUACGGGUUGUAAACUUCUUUUGUCAGGGAGCAAUUGGGUCCACGCGUGGGCUUAGCGAGAGUACCUGAAGAAAAAGCACCGGCUAACGCCGUGCCAGCAGCCGCGGUAAUACGGAGGAUGCGAGCGUUAUCCGGAUUUAUUGGGUUUAAAGGGUGCGUAGGCGGAAUAUCAAGUCAAAGUGAAAAAUUCGGGGCUCAAACCCGUCGUGCCGUUGAAACUGAUGUUGUUGCGGGGGCGAGAAGUAUGCGGAAUGGGUGGGGGAGCGGUGAAAAGCAUAG
rnacentral:rRNA from 1 species